AUGAAGUCUGUAAGAGGGAGAGAUGAAGGUUCUAUCGAUGUUUUUGAGAGAUUGAGACAGACCGAGAAAUGGAUGAAGGUUGGUGGUGGUGUCUCCACCGUAACCAAUUCUGGUGCCUUCUUUUCUCCAGUCGCCUUUAGGUUCCAUCUUUUGAAACGAUUCACAGUAGAAGCAGAGACAAAAAUUGAAUUUGAGGAGAGUUUAGAGGAAUCUGAAGGUCAAACAGAGACAUUAAGAUGCUGGCGGUUCACAAUGAGGUUGAAUCGAAAGAGAAUAAGACGAGCGACGCGCCAUUGA